CUCUCCGUAGCUCAGAUGGUAGAGCAACUGACUCUUAAUCAGUGGGUCGUGGGUUCGAUUCCCCCCGGGGAGA
rnacentral:tRNA from 1 species